CAGCUUAAGCUGUCGGUGAGCAAACAAGAAAAUUUUUUGCUGCAAUGGCUAGACAGUUCGCUGAAUACAAAACCGUGGUUGGUCUGAAUUGGGGCCUGGAGUGAGGGGAUGCCAAGCUUCUACUUGAUUUUUGGGUGCAGAUGUGCAGUAUGAAUUCAAAUUUCUUUUGCGCAGUAGAUAUUGAAGCAUCUAAUCCAUAAGCAUCAAGUGAAAGUUCUAAGAAGAUGAGUGGUCAUUAAGAAACAAAAGCUGUAACUUCAGAAAACCUCUGACUUUGGAAGGAGAGCAAAAUAAAGUUGCUGACUCGAUUGAUUUUGGUGCUUGGGACUUCGAGUGCCUAGUUCCUAUCAUUCCCAGUGAAAUCUUACCAACACUUAUUUCCAUGCUACCUCUAAUGCUUGAAGCUGAAAAUUGACUUUGUUAAAUUGUCUAACUCCCCAACGAAAGGAAGAGUGGCGGACGAGUGAGUAACGCAUAAGAAUCUGCCCUUAUAGGAGGGAACAAUAGCUGGGAACCGCUGCUAAUACACCGGAGGCUGAGGAGCAAAAAAGGAAGAUUCCAUCUGAGGAGGGGCUUGCAUCUGAUGUAUUACUCAAAACUGAAAAAAGUUUUGUUCAUUUGCAGAAUAUUGACUUUGUUCAAUUGUCCAACUCCCCACGGCAUGCGUGGCAACGUCAACCCUUGAAUUGGGUUAAAUUAAAUGUUGAUAGAGUGAUGUCCUCUUCUAGAAACCGAGCUAGUUGUGGGGGUGUUUUUAGAGAUCAUAUGCGCUCGUGGACUGUGGAAUUUUCUCAUAGCCUUCGCAUUUGUAGUGCGUUUGAAGCAGAGCAAUGGGCUGCUCUCAAGGGGUUGCUAAUGAUUGCCUGGGAUUAGAUUCCGCCACUCUCAGUUUAUUUGCUGUUUUAGGGCCUUAGCCCCCUUCUGUAU